UACGUAGGGCGCAAGCGUUGUCCGGAAUUAUUGGGCGUAAAGAGCUCGUAGGCGGCUCGGUAAGUCGGAUGUGAAACCUCCAGGCUCAACCUGGAGACGCCAUCUGAUACUGCCGUGGCUUGAGUCCGGUAGAGGAGCAGGGAAUUCCUGGUGUAGCGGUGAAAUGCGCAGAUAUCAGGAGGAACACCAGCGGCGAAGGCGCUGCUCUGGGCCGGUACUGACGCUGAGGAGCGAAAGCGUGGGGAGCGAACAGG
rnacentral:rRNA from 1 species